UACGUAUGGGGCGAGCGUUGUUCGGAAUUAUUGGGCGUAAAGGGCGUGUAGGCGGUUUCGUAAGCUUGGUGUGAAAUACUCUGGCUUAACCAGAGGAACGCAUUGGGAACUGCGAGACUAGAGUUCAGGAGGGGAAGCUGGAAUUCCAGGUGUAGGGGUGAAAUCUGUAGAUAUCUGGAAGAACACCAAAGGCGAAGGCAAGCUUCUGGACAUGGACUGACGCUGAGGCGCGAAAGCGUGGGGAG
rnacentral:rRNA from 1 species